AGCGUACACGGUGGAUGCCCUGGCAGUCAGAGGCGAUGAAGGACGUGCUAAUCUGCGAUAAGCGUCGGUAAGGUGAUAUGAACCGUUAUAACCGGCGAUUUCCGAAUGGGGAAACCCAGUGUGUUUCGACACACUAUCAUUAACUGAAUCCAUAGGUUAAUGAGGCGAACCGGGGGAACUGAAACAUCUAAGUACCCCGAGGAAAAGAAAUCAACCGAGAUUCCCCCAGUAGCGGCGAGCGAACGGGGAGCAGCCCAGAGCCUGAAUCAGUGUGUGUGUUAGUGGAAGCGUCUGGAAAGGCGCGCGAUACAGGGUGACAGCCCCGUACACAAAAAUGCACAUGCUGUGAGCUCGAUGAGUAGGGCGGGACACGUGGUAUCCUGUCUGAAUAUGGGGGGACCAUCCUCCAAGGCUAAAUACUCCUGACUGACCGAUAGUGAACCAGUACCGUGAGGGAAAGGCGAAAAGAACCCCGGCGAGGGGAGUGAAAAAGAACCUGAAACCGUGUACGUACAAGCAGUGGGAGCACGCUUAGGCGUGUGACUGCGUACCUUUUGUAUAAUGGGUCAGCGACUUAUAUUCUGUAGCAAGGUUAACCGAAUAGGGGAGCCGAAGGGAAACCGAGUCUUAACUGGGCGUUAAGUUGCAGGGUAUAGACCCGAAACCCGGUGAUCUAGCCAUGGGCAGGUUGAAGGUUGGGUAACACUAACUGGAGGACCGAACCGACUAAUGUUGAAAAAUUAGCGGAUGACUUGUGGCUGGGGGUGAAAGGCCAAUCAAACCGGGAGAUAGCUGGUUCUCCCCGAAAGCUAUUUAGGUAGCGCCUCGUGAAUUCAUCUCCGGGGGUAGAGCACUGUUUCGGCAAGGGGGUCAUCCCGACUUACCAACCCGAUGCAAACUGCGAAUACCGGAGAAUGUUAUCACGGGAGACACACGGCGGGUGCUAACGUCCGUCGUGAAGAGGGAAACAACCCAGACCGCCAGCUAAGGUCCCAAAGUCAUGGUUAAGUGGGAAACGAUGUGGGAAGGCCCAGACAGCCAGGAUGUUGGCUUAGAAGCAGCCAUCAUUUAAAGAAAGCGUAAUAGCUCACUGGUCGAGUCGGCCUGCGCGGAAGAUGUAACGGGGCUAAACCAUGCACCGAAGCUGCGGCAGCGACGCUGAUGCGUUGUUGGGUAGGGGAGCGUUCUGUAAGCCUGCGAAGGUGUGCUGUGAGGCAUGCUGGAGGUAUCAGAAGUGCGAAUGCUGACAUAAGUAACGAUAAAGCGGGUGAAAAGCCCGCUCGCCGGAAGACCAAGGGUUCCUGUCCAACGUUAAUCGGGGCAGGGUGAGUCGACCCCUAAGGCGAGGCCGAAAGGCGUAGUCGAUGGGAAACAGGUUAAUAUUCCUGUACUUGGUGUUACUGCGAAGGGGGGACGGAGAAGGCUAUGUUGGCCGGGCGACGGUUGUCCCGGUUUAAGCGUGUAGGCUGGUUUUCCAGGCAAAUCCGGAAAAUCAAGGCUGAGGCGUGAUGACGAGGCACUACGGUGCUGAAGCAACAAAUGCCCUGCUUCCAGGAAAAGCCUCUAAGCAUCAGGUAACAUCAAAUCGUACCCCAAACCGACACAGGUGGUCAGGUAGAGAAUACCAAGGCGCUUGAGAGAACUCGGGUGAAGGAACUAGGCAAAAUGGUGCCGUAACUUCGGGAGAAGGCACGCUGAUAUGUAGGUGAAGUCCCUUGCGGAUGGAGCUGAAAUCAGUCGAAGAUACCAGCUGGCUGCAACUGUUUAUUAAAAACACAGCACUGUGCAAACACGAAAGUGGACGUAUACGGUGUGACGCCUGCCCGGUGCCGGAAGGUUAAUUGAUGGGGUUAGCGCAAGCGAAGCUCUUGAUCGAAGCCCCGGUAAACGGCGGCCGUAACUAUAACGGUCCUAAGGUAGCGAAAUUCCUUGUCGGGUAAGUUCCGACCUGCACGAAUGGCGUAAUGAUGGCCAGGCUGUCUCCACCCGAGACUCAGUGAAAUUGAACUCGCUGUGAAGAUGCAGUGUACCCGCGGCAAGACGGAAAGACCCCGUGAACCUUUACUAUAGCUUGACACUGAACAUUGAGCCUUGAUGUGUAGGAUAGGUGGGAGGCUUGGAAGUGUGGACGCCAGUCUGCAUGGAGCCGACCUUGAAAUACCACCCUUUAAUGUUUGAUGUUCUAACGUUGACCCGUAAUCCGGGUUGCGGACAGUGUCUGGUGGGUAGUUUGACUGGGGCGGUCUCCUCCUAAAGAGUAACGGAGGAGCACGAAGGUUGGCUAAUCCUGGUCGGACAUCAGGAGGUUAGUGCAAUGGCAUAAGCCAGCUUGACUGCGAGCGUGACGGCGCGAGCAGGUGCGAAAGCAGGUCAUAGUGAUCCGGUGGUUCUGAAUGGAAGGGCCAUCGCUCAACGGAUAAAAGGUACUCCGGGGAUAACAGGCUGAUACCGCCCAAGAGUUCAUAUCGACGGCGGUGUUUGGCACCUCGAUGUCGGCUCAUCACAUCCUGGGGCUGAAGUAGGUCCCAAGGGUAUGGCUGUUCGCCAUUUAAAGUGGUACGCGAGCUGGGUUUAGAACGUCGUGAGACAGUUCGGUCCCUAUCUGCCGUGGGCGCUGGAGAACUGAGGGGGGCUGCUCCUAGUACGAGAGGACCGGAGUGGACGCAUCACUGGUGUUCGGGUUGUCAUGCCAAUGGCACUGCCCGGUAGCUAAAUGCGGAAGAGAUAAGUGCUGAAAGCAUCUAAGCACGAAACUUGCCCCGAGAUGAGUUCUCCCUGACUCCUUGA
rnacentral:rRNA from 1 species